UACGUAGGGGGCAAGCGUUGUCCGGAAUCAUUGGGCGUAAAGAGCGUGUAGGCGGUCCGGUAAGUCGGCUGUGAAAGUCCAGGGCUCAACCCUGGGAUGCCGGUCGAUACUGCCGGACUAGAGUUCGGAAGAGGCGAGUGGAAUUCCCGGUGUAGCGGUGAAAUGCGUAGAGAUCAGGAAGAACAUCGGUGGCGAAGGCGUUCUGCUGGACCAUAACUGACACUCAGGGACGAAAGCUAGGGGAGCGAAUGGG
rnacentral:rRNA from 1 species